GACGAACCGUCCAAACGUUAUUCGGAAUCACUGGGCUUACAGAGUUCGUAGGCGGUCUGGAAAGUUGGGUGUGAAAUCCCUCGGCUCAACCGAGGAACUGCGCUUGAAACUACCAGACUCGAGGGAGAUAGAGGAAAGCGGAACUGAUGGUGGAGCGGUGAAAUGCGUUGAUAUCAUCAGGAACACCGGUGGCGAAGGCGGCUUUCUGGACGAUAACUGACGCUGAGACGCGAAAGCGUGGGGAGCAAACAGG
rnacentral:rRNA from 1 species